UGCUGGCUGCUGCCUGUCGUUUCCCUCAGAAUCAUUCCUGGGACUCCACCCGUUCCUCUCAGGAUAAUAUUUGAUCCUAACUGCUCAAAACCUCAUUUAGAUGCGUAUUUUUAACACAGCGUCUGUGAGUCCUGUUUCCUUCAGCGGCCGCGUACCCUGGGCGCUGCCGCCCUCCUCCCGCUCCCUCGGCUGCAGUCCACCCCGUCCAGCACGCAGGGAGUGAAACCGCGGUGCUUUGCCUUCGGCUCCUCCUCCUUCCUCUUCCCCUUCCUCUUCCUCUUCUCGCGACCGCUGCCUCAGAGGCCUCGCGGUCAGGCUCCGCUGCCCACCGCUUUAAGAGCCUUCAAAGAAGCGGGCUCCCGCCCAUGGCCCGCGGCCCUGCUUCGGGCUCCCCCGCGCGGGGCGGAUAGACAAGAUGGCUGCGGCCGGGUAGGGAGGCAGCACCAAGAGAUAAGGGGAUUUGCUGUGCCAGCACUAAAUUGAGACUAAGCUUCAAACUUUUAUACAAAAUUAUUUGUUGAAAAAAGAAGCUUCUGCACUACUAAGAGGAGAUGUCUGUGAAGUGCUGGACUGGGAGGCUGUGCAUGUUUCUGAAGGAAUUAACUUCAAAAACUUGACAGAAUGCAAACUCAAAUCUUUUAACAUUGUAUUUUGCUUAGCAACAAUAAAACAGUAACUGACUUUUACCAGAGCUGUAACUUGGGUCACUGGGGAGAGGGGUAAGAUGCUUUGACCUUCCACGAACAUUUGUGGUAAAAACAGAACUGAAGAAACUUCCUGCUCGUGUUAAGAUUCAUCUU